rnacentral:rRNA from 1 species
GAUGAACGCUGGCGGCGUGCCUAAUACAUGCAAGUCGAGCGAACAGACGAGGAGCUUGCUCCUCUGACGUUAGCGGCGGACGGGUGAGUAACACGUGGAUAACCUACCUAUAAGACUGGGAUAACUUCGGGAAACCGGAGCUAAUACCGGAUAAUAUGUUGAACCGCAUGGUUCAAUAGUGAAAGACGGUUUUGCUGUCACUUAUAGAUGGAUCCGCGCCGCAUUAGCUAGUUGGUAAGGUAACGGCUUACCAAGGCAACGAUGCGUAGCCGACCUGAGAGGGUGAUCGGCCACACUGGAACUGAGACACGGUCCAGACUCCUACGGGAGGCAGCAGUAGGGAAUCUUCCGCAAUGGGCGAAAGCUUGACGGAGCAACGCCGCGUGAGUGAUGAAGGUCUUCGGAGCGUAAAACUCUGUUAUUAGGGAAGAACAAAUGUGUAAGUAACUAUGCACGUCUUGACGGUACCUAAUCAGAAAGCCACGGCUAACUACGUG